AAUUCUACUCACAAGUCAAACAGGAUAAAGAGCAGCGUGUCGUUUUCCCAUACUCUUUCCUAGCGUUGACACUUUCCUUCUCCUUCCACUGCUGCGCCGCUUCAUCAUCCUCAAACCCUCCCCAGUCCGGCGUCGUUUUCGCCUCUCUUUGUUGCCAAGGUCAGUCUAAAAUUGUUGACCAUAUCCUUUUGCAAUUGCUAAUACCGGAACUUCUUUAUUAUUUUUUUUUUCAAUUUCUUUUUUCUCUGUUAUGGAUGCAUUAUAUUAGAUUUAAAGUUUUUUUUUUUUCAGUUUCAUGUUAAUGGGUGUUGUGUUACAUUAUAUGAAGCCUUAUUAUAUGUCCCAUGAUGCGUGAUGCACGGUUAUAUAGCUGUUCUUAUUGAGUAUACCAAAUUGCAUAUCUUUCAUUCUUGUCAUGAUUUUGUCAGUCUCAUACCUGUUUAAAUGGGCGAAGGUUUAAACAUUUUGAUGCAGUAUCUUCUUGAAACUAAUUUUCGGAUUUUAUGAUAAUUCAGAUUAUUUUUUUAUCGCGCAUCUCAACUAAUUCCACGGCAUUAUUGCUACCUCCCACCAGCAAUAGGUACCAGGUAACUCUGUCUACCAAGGUUUGGACAGAUUGGAAGAAAUCACCUAGUGUUUUUGCCUCCGCUAGGAUUUGAACCUGAGAUCUCAUGAUUCUCAACCCACUUCAUUGACCACUAGGCCUCACCCUUAGGUGCAGAUUAUUGCAGCUAGCAACUCAUGUUUUCUCAUAUGUGUAUGCGAAAUGUAACUGAGUAGUUCAGUAACUGAUAGUGUUGAAAUAGUUGGAAGGCAGAUCUGGAUGAAAAUUUUGAUGCAUCUAUCGGAGGAAAAAAGGGUGCAAAACCUUCAUAUUUUUAAAUUGAUUGAUCCGUCAAAUUAAGAAGAAAAAGAAAAUAAAUGAUAAUUAACCCCUUUCAGAAGCUGAUAUUUGUUGAACUUGAUCAGUUGUUGCCCUUGUUUUGCUGUUAAACAGUACCCCCGGCAAUUGGGAGGGAACAUUCUUAGCUGUCGUUUGAGGUGUUUGCUGCCAUGGCUGGUAAAGAUUCAAAUAGUAAGUAAUUCUCACUAGUUGAUUGCUCUUAACGUAAAUUUUCUGACUCUUCAAUUUUUCAGUCUGCACUUUGUAUAAUAUAUCCGUGUUUUCCGUUGUUUAGAGGGAAAAAAGAAAGAAGUCAAGAAAGAGACAGGUCUUGGUCUCUCUUCCAAGAAAGAUGAGAACUUCGGGGAGUGGUAUUCUGAGGUA
rnacentral:lncRNA from 1 species